UCCGAAUUGGUGUAGUGGCUAACAUUUGACGCUCUCACUCGAUCACAUCCCGUGAUCCUUUGACCCGUCAAGCCCGGGGUUCGAUUCCCCGAUUCGGAG